GAAAGUCUUCGGGGCAAGGUGAGAAGGCGUUUAGCCUUCAAUUCCUGACCGGCGGUGAUAGGCGAAAGCCUUAAGCCCGCGAGCCGCAAGGCAGAUCCGGUGAAAUUCCGGAGCCGACAGUAAAGUCUGGAUGGGAGAAGACUGGU
rnacentral:ncRNA from 2 species